rnacentral:pre_miRNA from 1 species
AAAAAGACAAAUCCUGAGUUUCCAUGUCCAAUGUUUGACUGUUCGUCUUAUAUGAAUUUUUUUUAUAAUUAGUAUUUUUUAUUGUUAUUAGAUGAUGAAAUAUAAUUAAUACUUUUUGUCUUUUUAAUUUUUUUUAUAUAUUUUUUUAAAUAAGACGGACGAUCGACAUGAAACCCAAG